AUUGAACGCUGGCGGCAUGCCUAACACAUGCAAGUCGAGCGGAGCGGCUGACGGGUGAGUAAUGCCUAGGAAUCUGCCUGUUACUGGCGGAUAACGUCAGUAAAUGGGCGCCAAUAUCGCAUACUAUCAGAUCAGCUUAGGUGGGAUUAGCUAGUUGGUGGGGUAAAGGCCUACCAAGGCGACGAUCCGUAACUGGUCUGGGAGGAUGAUCAGUCACACUGGAACUGAGACACGGUCCAGACUCCUACGGGAGGCAGCAGUGGGGAAUAUUGGACAAUGGGCGAAAGCCUGAUCCAGCCAUGCCGCGUGUGUGAAGAAGGUCUUCGGAUUGUAAAGCACUUUAAGUUGGGAGGCGUUACCAACAGAGUAAGCACCGGCUAACUUCGUGCCAGCAGCCGCGGUAAUAC
rnacentral:rRNA from 1 species